rnacentral:rRNA from 1 species
CAUUACAACAGAAAAUGCGGGAGGUACGCCUGAACUCCUUAGCAAACACAUUGAUGUCUACCCUUCCAUGUUGCUUCCCCAGACCAGUAGCCACUGCUGCCAGCCAAGUCCAUAAUUUGGUCUUCCGGGUUGAGGUAUCUGGGGAAGGACUUAUCAUUAAACCCUUGAACUAAUCAGUUGUCUGAGAGAGGGCCAUCUGCCCUGAUAUUUAAAUUAUAUUAAAACUUUCAACAACGGAUCUCUUGGCUCUCGCAUCGAUGAAGAACGCAGCGAAAUGCGAUACGUAAUGUGAAUUGCAGAAUUCCGUGAAUCAUUGAAUCUUUGAACGCAUCUUGCGCCUCUUGGUAUUCCGAGGGGCAUGCCUGUUUGAGUGUCAUUAGAACUAUCAAAAAACAAUGGUUUCGAUCAUUAUUUUUUGGAAUUGGAGGUGGUGCCCUGGGUCUUUUGAGAAAAAGACUCCCCGAGCUCCUCUGAAAUGCAUUAGCGAAAUGCAGUGCACUUUCUUCUCCUUGGGGCAUUGAUAAGUUACUUUCAUGUCCUAAGCUGCGGGGAGGAAGUCACAGAAUGCUUUUUUGCUCCUGAACGUGUAAAUCUUGACAACCAAAGCCCUCAAAUCAGGCAGGACUACCC